CUUCAUUUACAGUUACUCCACAUUUUUCAAAGUUUCUAUAUCCUGUUCUACCGGGAUAGAUAUAUACCUGUUCUACCUCUAAUUUGCCAGGAUUCACUGUCCUGGAUUCACAGGAUUCAGACCACCCACAAAUCCCAUCUUCUCCAGUUAUCAUCAUGGUCCAGGUGAGGAUACAGACCUGUCCUGGUUGCCCCUCCUUGCUCAGCGGCAGAUAAGAAGUGAUAUCUAUGCUGCUGGUCAAUUGCUGUUUUCAUUUCCUCAGUGCUGCUCCAGAAUGGUUGCAAGGGGAAUUUGCUAAACAAUGAAUGACAGUCUUAGGCAGAGAGAAGUAAUGCUGCACAGAGACCUGGUGAAAUGUACUUUUUCCAUAUUAAGAUGGAGCUGUUCUGUCAGAGGCCAAGAACACAGAACAUAAUCCCAACUGUAUAACAUCACUUUCAUGGAAGUACCCUUCACCAGCAACAAAAAUACCAUUUGCUGGAG
rnacentral:lncRNA from 1 species